rnacentral:rRNA from 1 species
UACAGAGGUCCCGAGCGUUGUUCGGAUUCACUGGGCGUAAAGGGUGCGUAGGUGGCUUGAAACGUUUGAUGUGAAAGCUCAGGGCUUAACCCUGAAAUGGCAUUGAAUACUGUCGGGCUGGAGGUUUGGAGGGGGGACUGGAAUUCUUGGUGUAGCAGUGAAAUGCGUAGAUAUCAAGAGGAACUCCAGUGGCGAAGGCGAGUCCCUGGACAACACCUGACACUGAGGCACGAAAGCUAGGGGAGCAAACAGG